CUAAGGUGCUUGAACGAACUUUGUUGAAGGAACUCGGCAAAAUAACCCCGUAACUUCGGGAGAAGGGGUGACUUUUUCGGGGCAACCCGUAAAAGUUGACACAAAAAUGGAGGUAGCGACUGUUUAAUAAAAACACAGGUUUCUGCUAAUUUGUAAAAAGAUGUAUAGAAACUGACACCUGCCCGGUGCUGCAAGGUAAAUAAAUUAUUGUUUUGGCUUUAAUUUUAAACCCCAGUAAACGGCGGCGGUAACUCUGACCGUCCAAAGGUAGCGAAAUUCUUUGUCGGGUAAGUUCCGACCUGCAUGAAUGGUGUAACGACUUCCUUACUGUCUCCAACAAAGCUUCAGUGAAAUUGAAAUUCCUGUGAAGAUGCAGGUUAUACGCAGCAAGACGGAAAGACCCCGUGCACUUUUACUAUAAGCAUACACCGCGAUCAGUUUUAAAUUGUGUAGAUAUAAGUGGGAGUUGUUUGAAACUUUUACGUAAGUAAAUUGUUUAGGCGCUAGUGAAAUACCACUCUUUUUUUCAAUUAUUCGCUCACUUCAAAUGAAGGACUCUGUAUGCUUGGUAGUUUCGCUGGGGCGGCGACCUCCUAAAAAGUAACGGAGGUGCGCAAAGGUAAACUUAAAUAAUUAAAAUUAUUUUUAAGCGUAAUAGUAAUGUUUGCCUGACUGUAAGAUUGAUAAAUCGCGCAGAGACGAAAGUCGGUUAUAUUGAUCCGGUGGUUUUUAGUGGAAAAGCCAUCGCCAACAAAUAAAAAGUACGCCGGGGAUAACAGGCUGAUGCCUCCCUAGAGCUCUUAUCGACGGAGGCGUUUGGCACCUCGAUGUCGGCUCAUCACAUCCUAGAGCUGAAGAAGGUUCUAAGGGUUGGGCUGUUCGCCCAUUAAAGUGGUA
rnacentral:rRNA from 1 species